GAUGAACGCUGGCGGCGUGCUUAACACAUGCAAGUCGAACGGGAAACCUUUUAUUGAAGCUUCGGCAGAUUUCGCUGGUUUCUAGUGGCGGACGGGUGAGUAACGCGUGGGUAACCUGCCUUAUACAGGGGGAUAACAGUCAGAAAUGGCUGCUAAUACCGCAUAAGCGCACAGAGCUGCAUGGCUCAGUGUGAAAAACUCCGGUGGUAUAAGAUGGACCCGCGUUGGAUUAGCUGGUUGGUGGGGUAACGGCCCACCAAGGCGACGAUCCAUAGCCGGCGUGAGAGGGUGAACGGCCACAUUGGGACUGGGACACGGCCCAGACUCCUACGGGAGGCAGCAGUGGGGAAUAUUGCACAAUGGGGGAAACCCUGAUGCAGCGACGCCGCGUGAAGGAAGAAGUAUCUCGGUAUGUAAACUUCUAUCAGCAGGGAAGAUAAUGACGGUACCUGACGAAGAAGCCCCGGCUAACUACGUG
rnacentral:rRNA from 1 species